rnacentral:rRNA from 1 species
AGUGGCAAACGGGUGAGUAAUACAUGGGAAUUUUCCUUGCAGUACGGAAUAACUAUUGGAAACAGUAGCUAAUACCGUAUAUUGCCGAGAGGUGAAAGAUUUAUCGCUGCAAGAUAAGCCCAUGCAAGAUUAGCUUGUUGGUAAGGUAAUGGCUUACCAAGGCUACGAUCUUUAGCUGGUUUGAGAGGAUGAUCAGCCACACUGGAACUUAGACACGGUCCAGACUCCUACGGGAGGCAGCAGUGGGGAAUAUUGGACAAUGGGCGAAAGCCUGAUCCAGCGACGUCACGUGAAUGAUGAAGGCCUUAGGGUUGUAAAAUUCUUUUAGUGGAGAAGAUAAUGACGGUAUCCACAGAAAAAGUCCCGGCUAACUUCGUGCCAGCAGCCGCGGUAAUACGAAGGGGGCAAGCGU